AUUGAACGCUGGCGGCAGGCCUAACACAUGCAAGUCGAGCGGAUGAAGGGAGCUUGCUCCUGGAUUCAGCUGCCGACGGGUGAGUAAUUCCUAGGAAUCUGCCUGGCAGUGGGGGAUAACGUCCGUAAACGGGCGCUAAUACCGUAUACGCCCAGAGGGAGAAAGGGGGGGAUCUUCGGACCUCACGCUAUCAGAUGAGCCUAGGUCGGAUUAGCUAGUUGGUGGGGUAAGGGCCUACCAAGGCGACGAUCCGUAACUGGUCUGAGAGGAUGAUCAGUCACACUGGAACUGAGACACGGUCCAGACUCCUACGGGAGGCAGCAGUGGGGAAUAUUGGACAAUGGGCGAAAGCCUGAUCCAGCCAUGCCGCGUGUGUGAAGAAGGUCUUCGGAUUGUAAAGCACUUUUAGUUGGGAGGAAGGGCAGUAAGUUAAUACCUUGCUGUUUUGACGUUACCAAAAGAAUAAGCACCGGCUAACUUCGUG
rnacentral:rRNA from 1 species